AGGCAGCAGUGGGGAAUAUUGGACAAUGGGCGAAAGCCUGAUCCAGCCAUGCCGCGUGUGUGAAGAAGGCCCUCGGGUUGUAAAGCACUUUCAGCGAGGAAGAACGCCUAGUGGUUAAUACCCAUUAGGAAAGACAUCACUCGCAGAAGAAGCACCGGCUAACUCC
rnacentral:rRNA from 1 species